UUAAAAUUAUUCUGGUACAAGGUUUUUGUCCACGUAAAACUGAAAUUGCUCGAUUUCCCAUCGGAGUUCGUCUCAAUGUUUGUGAUUAUACAUGUUGCUUACUCUGAGUAAAUGUGCAUUAGAGGUUAGGUUGUAAUCGGCUAAUUGUGAUCUCUAGAUUUGCCUGAUGUUAGUCCCCCUAAAAAGGUCUGGAUCUGUUUAGCGUGACUGAAAAUCAAUGCCGUCAACUCUUCUUUUUAGUAGUUGUGUUUAUAAUAUAUGGAGUAAAUUUAUUAAAUAAACAAACUAAACAUAAAACAUUUCGUCAACCUUCUGCCCCUCCCUUACGCUUUUCCAAGGCCCGCGCAAGUCCGGCUGUCAGUGAGUUGUACAUCAUGCGGAUGACUUCUGACGUUUCGGUUACCGUGCUGUUUCUCGUCAUCACUUCAUCUCCUUCUGCAACUCUUUGCCGCUGCUUGCAUUCCUCCACAAUGUCCCUGUGUAGAAAUACUGACCAAGCAAUGUUUGUUUACCUUUCAAUUUCCAUUGGGAACCAAGUGGCCAUCAAUUAUUUAGGAGACGCGGUGGGUUUAUGGUUAGCGCACUAAAAUCCCAGACCGAAUGGUCUGAGUUCGUCGAUCGGGCCCUGACCGGGGCCACUGUGUUGUGUUCUUGGGCAAGACACUUAACUCUCACGGUGCUAUUCUCCACCCGGGAGUAUAAAUGCGUACCAGCCAAUUUAAAAUGCUUUAUCCUGUUAAGAACAAUGGCGAGCACCGAAGUAUAAGAUCGCUGUUGAUUUGAAUGUACAGUCUUCUAGAAAGUCUAAUCCAAGGGAAAGUGUACUUAUUUUGAAACAAGUUUAUUCAAAAUUUAAUCAAGAACAAAACAAGUGUUUUGACAAUUCUAACGUUGCAGUUUGAAUAUAUUCUUCAACUAUACUUUUUAUUUCCUGUGGAAUAUUUCAGCGAGCGAAACAUUUGGACUAACGGCGAAGUAAUUCAUAAUUUUUUUAUUAAGUUCUAGUUUUCAUUUAGUGUUUAGUGCUUUUUAUUUGAUUUUAAUUCUGUAGCGUUUUCAAAGGCCAGUUUCGAUAUAUUCAACGGAAUUCUUAAAAGGCUCUGAGGCUUAGGGGACCAAAACAAAAGGCAUUGUUUAUUCCUUCCUCAACUUCAACGUGAUUUAUUUUGUUUUAGUUCUCUAAACCUUCGCGCCAUGUUGAAAUUUUAAUAUAUCGAAAUUGGCCUAUACAUUUCGAACGUAAUCAUGCAGUCGUGAUAAAGUCUUCAAGCCUGGAAUGCCACAUGGCUAAACUUAUUGCUUUCUGUGUUUUCUCCUCAGGGUGAAAACAACAAUUUUUCCAUUUCAUCUUGGAUAGGGAAGCGUUUCUUUACACACAUCACGUAACAGCGAUCAAGGAGCAACUUUGAAGUCUGAACAGAUGGCUUUCGAAAGGACCAUGAACAUUGUAGAAGUUUCUCUGACAUUUCUGUGUGAACGCGAUGGGAAAACACGGAUACUUUAGAAAUGACCGGUUUGAGAAAAGGCCAAGAAAAACAUCAAAGGUGGAAGAAAGAAAGUCCGCCAUCACUAACUAGUAUUUAUUUUAUACCGAUCUUGUAGGAUAACUUUGAACAUACGCCUGGGCGGUUGAUAUCACAUUUCUCGUAGGAUUUUUUCUCUAAGUGUUUUUGGCAGGAAACGUUUGUAUAUAAAAGUUCACUCGCGCUCUGUUCAGAUGCCUUGAAAGUAACCAGUUUGAUGAGUAGCCCAAAAAAAUAGUUGUCUUAAAAGAAAGGAAAAAAUUGAUAUGGAUAGCCACCACCUCCCCGCCAACAACCGCUAACUAGCAUUUCUUUUAUACUUUUUAUCAAGAGUAGAGUUCCCAUCCUUGUGGUACAACUUUAUACGUACGCAUGCGCUUUUGGUAUCAUACUUUUGAGUCAAAAUUUUUCUAAGUCUUUUGGCGGGAAACGUUUUGAUAUAUAAAAUUCACUGACGCUCUGUCUCUUUCAGAUCUUAUGAAAAUGACCAGUUUUGAGAUAUGGCCAAAGCAAAGUUUCCAACCUUGGAAAAAAGGGAAAAAUUGAUGUGGAAAACCGGCACCACCCCGCCACCACCACUAACUAGCAUUUAUUUUAUACUUUAUAGCAAGAGUUUACAGUUCCCAUCCUUGUGGUACAGAAGCCUCUAAUACGCAUGCGUAUUGGGUGAGUAUGUCUCAGUUGUGAGAAGUGGGAUGUACUGUAUGAGAUAAGUUGUAAGUGUAAGUUGCCGUAAAGCUAAGUUACUUACAGUUGCAACAAAUGUCCGACUUAUGAUGUAAGUUGUGACUGUAAGUAUAGCUUAGCUUUACGGUUACUUACACUUACACCGUACCACUUACAGUACAUCCCACUUCCCACAACUGAGGCAUACUCACCCAAUACGCAUGC